CCCGAGUAAUGCGAUUGUAAAAUUUUAAUUAUUAUUCAAUAAUAAAAUUCAAAAAGAAAAGAUUUGACAGAAAUACCAAAAAAAAACAAACUAGGUUUCAUUCUCCCCACAAAUUUCACACUUGGACGGAAGUCUUGGAUGAGGAUUCUUUAGGACCCUUGAAGACGAAAAUGAAGCUGCGACCAAAACAAGGAAAGGUAAAUUGUGUUAAGCUCUAGAAACCACUGAGAGUUAGGCUUAAGGUACUCUAUCAUACAUUUUCACACAUAACUUAUAAAAAUGUAUAUAUAUUGUAUCAAUGUUCAUAAAAACUAAAUUCAUAAUGUCACAAAGUCAUUGCAAACAACACUAUUACACUGUAAAAACCAAUGCUUAUAUUACGUAGUAUUUACGUUGUAACAAAUGGACAAAGAAACGUAAUUUACUAAACAAAAAUAAUGAAAAAUAGUCGCUUAACAAUUAUAUUCAAAGUGGUAAAAUUUCACAACUGGUUUUCCAGAAGCACAAUUUUGGUAAAUUUUACUAAAGGAAAAUUCUGAUCCCUAGCGCAGUUUGUCAACAACCAGCUGAAAACUAAAUUAAAAUCCAGUUCCUUCUUUACAAUACAUAACAGAAAGCAAAAUAUAAACAAUUUAGAAAUCCAGAUAGCCAAGCAACUGAGUUAAAAUAAAGAACAGCUGAAGGAAUGCUGCGUGUAUGUAUGACCAGUUAUUUUUAUUUUUCCAUUGUGGAAAGUUUAACUUUAUACAAAUUUUCUCUAUUUAUCCCAAUAUUUCGGCAUGAUUUCCUUACAUCUUUCUUCUAUUGAUUUCAAAAGUCCAAUCAACAAAACUUAUGUUUCUAAAAAUGAACCAAAAAUAGAUAGCCACAUUUACUCCUACUUAUGCACUUCUUUGUAUACAUUUGUUUAUGCAUGGUAUGAUCAGAUCUUUAUAAAAUAUAGCUUUCCCGACUAAAAUGUGUAUUUUUAUCUAACCCUUUUCAUGGUUGCCUAAAAACUUGGGAGUAUUUGAGGGACAAUUUUCGACUGCAGCAAACGAAAUAUUUUGGAGCAUCACUAUUUACUACCAAAAUGUCUCCCUUUUAUAUUUAUUUCAAAUAAUAAUUGUGACUUUAAAAACUUUGUAAAUAUUAUUAUUUUACCAAAUAAAAUUUGUAACGUUUAAAAACGUG